rnacentral:rRNA from 1 species
ACGCGGCGGAGGCUUACACAUGCAAGUCGAGCGGAGAGAGGUAGCUUGCUACUGAUCUUAGCGGCGGACGGGUGAGUAAUGCUUAGGAAUCUGCCUAUUAGUGGGGGACAACAUUUCGAAAGGAAUGCUAAUACCGCAUACGUCCUACGGGAGAAAGCAGGGGAUCUUCGGACCUUGCGCUAAUAGAUGAGCCUAAGUCGGAUUAGCUAGUUGGUGGGGUAAAGGCCUACCAAGGCGACGAUCUGUAGCGGGUCUGAGAGGAUGAUCCGCCACACUGGGACUGAGACACGGCCCAGACUCCUACGGGAGGCAGCAGUGGGGAAUAUUGGACAAUGGGCGCAAGCCUGAUCCAGCCAUGCCGCGUGUGUGAAGAAGGCCUUAUGGUUGUAAAGCACUUUAAGCGAGGAGGAGGCUACUUUAGUUAAUACCUAGAGAUAGUGGACGUUACUCGCAGAAUAAGCACCGGCUAACUCUGUGCCAGCAGCCGCGGUAAUACAGAGGGUGCAAGCGUUAAUCGGAUUUACUGGGCGUAAAGCGCGCGUAGGCGGCUAAUUAAGUCAAAUGUGAAAUCCCCGAGCUUAACUUGGGAAUUGCAUUCGAUACUGGUUAGCUAGAGUGUGGGAGAGGAUGGUAGAAUUCCAGGUGUAGCGGUGAAAUGCGUAGAGAUCUGGAGGAUUACCGAUGGCGAAGGCAGCCAUCUGGCCUAACACUGACGCUGAGUNGCGAAA